GACGAACGCUGGCGGCGUGCUUAACACAUGCAAGUCGAACGGAAAGGCCCUGCUUUUGUGGGGUGCUCGAGGGGCGAACGGGUGAGUAACACGUGAGUAACCUGCCCUUGACGUUGGGAUAACUUCAGGAAACUGGGGCUAAUACCGGAUAGGAUCUCCUGCUGCAUGGUGGGGGUUGGAAAGUUGCGGCGGUUGGGGAUGGGCUCGCGGUCUAUCAGCUGGUUGGUGGGGGAGUGGCUUACCAAGGCUUUGACGGGUAGCCGGCCUGAGAGGGUGCCCGGCCACAUUGGGACUGAGACGCGCCCCAGACCCCUACGGGGGGGAGGAGGGGAGAAUAUCGCACAAGGGGCGGGAGCGUGAUGGAGCAGCGCCGCGUGCGAGAAGACGGCUUUCGGGUUGUAAACCGCUUUCGCGUGGGGCGAAGCGUGAGUGACGUAACUGGGGAAGGAGGCACCGGCUACCUACGU
rnacentral:rRNA from 1 species